UAGAUGGUGUCCCUGCGGAUCAAUGCGAAAUUUUGAACUAGUUACAUGAUGUCUUACCCCGUAUCUUUUAGGAAGUUUUUUUGCUCAAACCUCCUGUUGCUGUCGGUAUGCAGUAUCUGGGUGCACAAACCGGUGGUGGAUCAGUGUGAAAGAUUGUUUUAUGUUUCUCAUCAAUGUGAGAUUGUUUUAUGGUUAUCUGGUUGUUGUUUCAGAUUUUGUCUAGUUGGUGUUUCUUCCGCAACACAUUGCGAUGUUUGUCUGUCGUCUCCGUAGAACCUUUCUCAUGCCCUUGUAACUGGGUGUUAAUCGAUCUGCCGCACGGCCUUCAAAAUGCGGCCUUGAGCUGGUUAUUAAUUGAACGGCCGUGGCCGCCAAUCGUGCCUUUAAGAUUACAACACGCAAGCACAUUCUGGAAACGAUCAAUUGAAUUGAAAGUUUGACCCCGUGGAUUUUGCUUUCAGAUAUUGAAAAAUUCCAUCAGCAACCACAACUCUAAUAAUUAACUGUAGCUUUGCUAAUUUCAAUAUGGUUAAUGUAAACUCUAAUAAAAAAAUCUUAUUGAAUGUUAUUUGAGCACAUUAUGCUUAAAUUUGUUGGAUUCUCUGGGUUGAUUUUCUUUCUUUUAUCAACAAAAAGAAGGUAGUUACAAUUAUUAAAAAAAAUCAAUACAUUUCAGCGAAAAUCCAUUUCUGCACCCAUGCUCAUCUGCACCGGCGCCGAAGAAAAAAAUCAAAACAAAUACUAGAAAAAUUCAAAAAAUUCCAUUUUUUCUUUGUGGGGUAGACAAUUUGAUGCGUGAGGUCCGAUCCAAUUUUCAAAUCAUUUGGACAUCUGAGGAGCUCUCAGGAAAAAAAAAUUUGGGGGUCUGUAAAAAUGUUUACUGUUCAUGUACUGUUUUGGUCUAAUUUGUCUUUUUUGCUGAGAGCUGCUCAGAUGUCCAAAUGACUUGAAAUUUGUAGCGGACCUCACACAUCAAAUUGUCUACCACACAAAUUUUAUUUGGAAUUUUUUGAAUUUGUUUUGAAUUUUUUACGAAUUUUUUUCUAACCGGGUGCAGAUGAGCGUGGCACCAAAACGCCCUGCUCUACAUUUCAGUGACUUCAAGUCUUUGUAUAUACAGUAUAAGAUUAGAAAUAUGGAAAUAAUAGGUAAUACAGAUGUUGAUAUACACAUACAGAAAUGUAUCAGUGUCUAACUUAUCAUGUGUUAGAGAAAGAGGAUUUGUGGCUCUCGCGUGUUAAACACCCUUAUAUGAAUAUAGCAUUAAAAAACAAAUUAGGAAAUUUUGAAAAGUUCUGAAAUUUUGGGAUGGAACCUAGGUGCCCGUUGUACACUCACGUUCAGUUUCAUGGGGAAGGGGUGCCCGAGGUAAUGUCAGUAAAAAGACAAAAAAAAUCGUAUGUGUAGAAAAAAACUGGAUGUAACGUAUGUCGGACCAUAAUUCCUGCGCCGUGGAUACCACGGACACCGAUUCUCCAUGAAAAUGAACAAGGGUGUACGAUGGGCACCCAGAUUUCAUAUCCAAAUAUUUUCAAAUUCUUUGGAUAUUUUCUGAUAUUUUUUUAAUGCUAUUUAUAUAUAGGGGUGUGUGGCACCGGGGUGCUCCGAUGCAUUUCUCGUGUUAUGCAGCGAAGGGGUAGGAUGCCCUCACAAUACGAGAGCCACUGAGAUAAAACACCAACCAAGCAACAUAGAAGGAUAACAUGCACACAGACAUCCCGCUAGGGAUGCCAGCUAUAUGAGAGAAGUACAAGGCAUGAACAAAGCACGGUAACUAAAGGGGCUUGCUUGAUCACGAGGACGAGCUACAAGAUGCCCCCUUGAUCUAGACAUAAGUCAACCUUGGGCGCCCUUGUUAUUGAAGAAGAGCAGGCAACGCUCGCCGACGCCGCGUCGGCAAGCGUAUACGUCGAUCCUGUCUCCCACGGAGAUACGGCUAUCCCUCAGGAACUCCCUCAACCCAGGCCCAAAGAUCCGGUAGGCCAUGAUGGCAUUGUCGUACUGGAGCGCUGCCACCUUCUCGUCGCCGGCCUCAACGUCGAUGAGGACGGGCACCGCCAGCACGUUCGGCAUGCCGUUGUGGCCAACCUGCUCCAGCUCCCGGAACAGCCUCGGGAUGGGGCCAUCCUGCACCAUCCCCCGGGUAAGCAGCAGCCCGUUCUGGCCUGGAGCGACGUCUGGCCACCGCAUUACCUUGGAGAGCGCCCACUCGGCCCCGUACACGCCAACGGCGGCCAUCCGCAUCUGGUGACGCCGGCGGACGAAGGAGGGCUCGGCCACGAGGGCGUGCCACCGCUUGCACGUCGUGGCGCAACGAAGGAGGGUAGCUGCAUCAGCGACGUGUGUGAGAAUCUCCAGGACGACGUCUUCCGGGAGCUCCGUCCGUUUGAUCUCCGCCCACGGAUUGAUCAUAUCGAAAGAGCCAAACCCUUGGCCAAACGUAUGUCUGUGCUUUUAUUUUUCUUCUAACAACUCAAUUUCAUGAUCUCGAGUCUCUAACAAAAGCACUCGUACCGAUCCUACACCGAAGACGACGACUCGAACAACAACUCCUGGUGUCGCAGGAACAAGGCCAAAGACACAAGUGCAUACGGCAACACUUCCUAAUCCAGUCUUGCUAAGUCUCAGUCGAUGAUAUAUUCAUGAGAUCUUACAUUAAGAUUCGUAUAAUAUUUUUUUCAGAUUUUUUCUCUUUUACAUGUAAUAUCACUUGAUUAAGACUUGGUUAAAUCUCAGUCGACUAAGACCUAGCCACAUCCUCCUAAUUAACCCGACCCUAAUUAGUCAACUAAGAUCUAGCCACGUCCUCCUAAUUAACCCGACCCUGAUCCGUACUAGGACUACCCGGCAACCUGCUUAACUAACACUGGAUAAUUUCCUAACGUUACCCAGGAAGACGGAUGCUCCAAGACUUGUUCGUGUAAGACUUCAACAUUACCUACGCCAACUAGACUCAACACUAAAUCAAGAUUAUGGCAACACCAUCUUCGACCUGAACGCUGGAGGGCGGGCAAUGUGCACGUGCAGGUCCGAUUCUCAAAAGACCGAGGCCGAUCUUUAUUAAGAUAGGGAAAAGGAGAAUUUACAUAGUGGCAAAGGCCGCCAAUAUUAGGGCAUCUUCAACUGUGACCCGUAAAUUUGUUCGGGCAUCCGUCGGUGAAUAAGAGGACCAGUCCGCAGACAUGAAUAUGGGAGCCGGUCAUACAACGCUGCUCGCAUACAUCUGAAGCCGGGUUUAAACUAGUCGGAAAAAAAUCAUGCAAACACGACGGGUUUUCAUAUAAAUCGGACGAAAUUCAUUACAUUUUGAACAUUUUUCAUUAAUAAAAUGGUCAACCCUAAAACACUUCCUUUGUAUUCAGUAUCGGCAACCACGUCCUCUGCCAUCUCCAUAAACGACGGCAGGGUUCAAGACUCGUGAAGUGGAGGUGCGGUCUUCGUUGAGGAAGAGUAAAACAUCGGAGACGGACCGGCCCACUUGGGACACAAUGCCCUGCCGCCUCCAAUGCCCUUCUCAUCCUCAGAUGAGUCCGCGACCUGUCCGUCCCCGGCGUCGGUGGACACGAGGUCGAUGAUGGACGUGGACGGUCCUUCACCGUCCAGCUGUCACGUGCGCCCCUGAAAGUUGAACGGUGGCGCGUGUUGGGAAAUGUAGUACUCCCUCUGUCCCACAAUAUAAGAACGUUUUUUACACUAGUGUAGUGUCAAAAACGUUCUUAUAUUAUGGGACGGAGGGAGUAGAAAAUAAAAAAAAUCGCCCUACGAUCACCCAGGAACAAUAUGAAGAUGCAUUAACGAUUUGGAUUCGAUAGUUACCGACUCCGAGUUGCAACAAAAAAUUACGAGUCGGUGUAGAUCGUACUUGGAGUCCCUCGAAGCGUAGAUGAACGAUCUCACGAACUGUCCACGAACAGUCCCUCGAACGAAGAACCGAAAGCAUGACCUCUCUACGAGUUGCAAGCGUACAAUCUUCACGAUCCGGCAAUGCUUCCAGAGCUAAUCGUCGUCGGAUAAUUAAAGAGAAGAGAUUAGAACCACACUAAACUUGUAAUUAUGAGGAUUAGACGAACUAGAUGAAUCUCUAAUUUAUUAAUUAGGACCGACUAGAACUAGAGAACUAGAGGAGGCUUCCAAACUUUUAUGUAUAAAAGUGCCCAAAGCCUCUAGUAUAUAUAGGUUGAAGUGGAGGAGGGGACCGCCNNNNNNNNNNNNNNNNNNNNNNNNNNNNNNNNNNNNNNNNNNNNNNNNNNNNNNNNNNNNNNNNNNNNNNNNNNNNNNNNNNNNNNNNNNNNNNNNNNNNNNNNNNNNNNNNNNNNNNNNNNNNNNNNNNNNNNNNNNNNNNNNNNNNNNNNNNNNNNNNNNNNNNNNNNNNNNNNNNNNNNNNNNNNNNNNNNNNNNNNNNNNNNNNNNNNNNNNNNNNNNNNNNNNNNNNNNNNNNNNNNNNNNNNNNNNNNNNNNNNNNNNNNNNNNNNNNNNNNNNNNNNNNNNNNNNNNNNNNNNNNNNNNNNNNNNNNNNNNNNNNNNNNNNNNNNNNNNNNNNNNNNNNNNNNNNNNNNNNNNCCCGUGCACACACACAAUGGAAAGGCGCCUCCCCUAUUAGGCCUAUGUAGUCCAAUUCUCCUUCCACCAUUUGGCCUUUUAAGACCUGUUGAUCUUAAAUUAAAUAUAAACUCCUCCUAACAAUUGUUAGAGAUUAUUAUUAUUAUUUUAACAUCACCGGAAAACAGUUUCCACAUACAUAUUAUUUAUCGGUAAUACCCGGUAUUGCCCGAUAAACUUUAAUACUCUUCCGGUGACCCUGAAAUGCUUCUGGUUCCUCUUGAAACUAUUCUGAAUAUUAAUGAAACUAUUUCACUAAUAAAUUAUCGAUACUCCUGUCCUACUAACACUCAGCAGAUCAUGAUUACCUUAACCCUGUGGCACUGUAGGUCCGGUAAAACAUAGACAUGAACGAAACUCCUUCGUUCAAUGAUCGACAUCAGAACCGUGGACGUUCGUAUCAAUCCCUAUAAUCACAAGAAUGACAUUCGAGUUAACCUUUUGUUAUUAUGUGAUUUUCCUUUGCUUCACGAUACUUUUCAAAACCUGAGGUGAGAUAUGUCGCUAUCCUCUUGAGUCAUACACAUGCUCACUAUACCGGUCUUCUCAUUGCUGGUUUUGUUCUUCUUUCUCGUUGACAUGUUCCGGCAUCCCCGUGAGUGGUCAUCUGUGUCUAGCCAGGUGAUUGAUGGAUGUCGUCACACCGAGAAAACCCUAAAAAUAUCUCUCCAUCGUCGGAGGAGAAAAAUCCACUCUUAAGCUAUCAAGUCCCAUGUCAAACUUUUCCGAUGAACCAGUAAGUUGUCGUUAUGAUCACUGUGUUACAGAUGACGUUUGAGCAACCCCAAAGCUCAUCAUACUGUAAAAAGUGACUAUGAUACUCUCACGAUCCAAGGAACUAAAACACACAUUAACACCCCGUGUUAUAACAAUUGACUUAUGACGAUAUUAUUUUUGGGUAAAAAUCAAAUUUAUGAGUAGUUAAUAUUUUUGACAAAUUUUGAGCGCUAAUUCUAAAAGGGCGCUGCUACGCGUCGGCCGGCAAAGAUCCGUCGUCUUGCGAACCGUUGGAUCUGAUGGAUUGAGCUGCCAAUGUCACGUUCUACCAUCGCAACACAGGUCAUGUUGCAAGAAUUUUCUGCAGCACAGGUCAUGUUGCAGUUUUUUUUUGCAACCGAAGUCUUGUUGCGGAAAUAUUUUUGCAACAGAGGUCUUGUUGCAUAUAUUUUCUGCAACAAAGGUGCUGUUGCGGAUUUUUUUUCCAUCUUCACUUUUUUUGCAACAUAGCUGUUGUUGCAAAAAAUUUACAAUGAAAAUCAUGAUUCAAAACGCCACUAUCACCGCCGUUCGUCGUUGUCGUUUGCAAUUCCAUCCUUGCAAUUACAACAUGGGACGAUCAGUGAUGAGCCGAGCCGACGGCCUGCGACGACCGACGACUGUGAUGGAGGCAGCCCACGACUUCCAUUUGUAGUUUUUUUUUUUUUUUUGCGGGGGACUUCCAUUUGUAGUUGGAAGCACAACUUCCCCCGUGACAAGCCGGGGAGUGCCCUCGCAGCUGCAGCCUCACCACCAGAUUUGUGGUGAGCCAUGGUGGCGGAGCUGCAGGACCUGAACGGAGGUAGCCUUGUGGUGCGGCCACGACGCUUGCAGGUGGGCAAGAGAACGGCCGGAAUAAAGAACAAGUCGUUGAGGUUGGAUAAGGCAGAUGAAAAUUUGAGAGGGGCUAGGGGUACCACGUCACGUGGACACGCGUCACACCGGCAAAGCGGCGGAUAGGAGUCUAGAAAUCAGUGGGGUGAUUUCAACCAUUUCCCAUUCUAAAAACCCGAAAUAUUUUUAACCUGAAUCACCCGACCAAAAUUUCCGGGUAAACCCGAAGGCCCGAGGCUGAGCUCUAACAUCAAACCGGGCCGGGCCAACUACACGGCGGAUCCCGCUGCUUCCAUUCCAAGGCGAGAGAGCUCUUCUCCCGAACCGCCUCUCGAUUCGUUACUAGAUUGCGUCAGAUGCGUGCAUUGCAUGCGUGGUUCAUGGUCUUAGGCUUCGUUGUCAAAAUUCCAUCUCCGUCCACGCCGUUCGAAGAACUACUUGAAAUCCUCUAGUAGCAGUAGGAGUAGUAGUAGUUUGUGUAAUUUACUUCAGUUAUGAUAGAGACCAGUGCUAUCUACAACGAUUAGGCCCAAAAGUAGCUGGUGGCAGGAGAUUUUUUCAGUGUACAUUGCUGGUGGCAGUUGCUCCUGUUGUUUAAAAGUUCUGAUGAUGCACUGUGGUUCAGUUUAGUUUGUUAGUCUAUUCGAUAUGCUGUGCUCUGUAACGGCCUUGCAGCAGGGCUUCACCUUUGAAACUCUGUUAUCAGGGGUAAUGCUUCUUGAUAUUGACUGGUCUAUGAGUGCUGAUAUCCUUGCAUUUUAUCUGUAGGAGGAGCUUUGAAGGUUUGCCAGGUCAGAAAAGAUGGUUCUCAAGUAUGUUACUGUCUUUGAUGUCGUGCCGAAAUGCUAAAGAUUUGUAAAAUUGCUUCUUCCAAUCUUACUUACUCCUGCAUUUGUGUUCAUACAGGACAGAGCUCUGCCGUUUCAGCGAUGCAAAGAUAUACCCAGGGAAGGGUAUCAGAUUCAUCCGUUCAGACUGAGGUAAGCCCUUGUGUCUCCUUUCGUUAUUUUGCAUGAAAUGAAAAUAACUGGAAAUUCUCUAACAUUCUGCUGCACCUUCUUUGUGUGUGCCCGAAAUCAGGUAUUCCUUUUCUCGAACUCCAAGUGCAAGCGCUACUUCCACAACCAUCUCAAGCCCGCUAAUCUCACAUGGACGGCCAGGUUCAGGAAGCAGCACAAGAAGGUACAUGCAAAUAAGCCAAUUCCUGUAAUGAUAUACUCCACAUCCUAGUUCAGGAAAUGUUUCAUAAUGUUACUAGUAUGCCGUAUUAGAGGUAUCUGCUUAGGCAGUGUAAGAGGUGCAUUCAUCUGGUUACUAAUUGACUUGCUUAAAUAUUUCACCUGAUGAAUAAUUUCAUUUGUGAGUAGCUAGCGAAAGUCAAAGAAGGUGACAUAUCUAGUAAGUCUCAGGGACUAGAAUGUACCAGUUUACCACAAUAUCAGAUAGUCUGUUGACAACAUAAAUGAUAUGUAUUGCUUAAUCACGUGUAAUUUCCAUUCCUUUGCUUUGCACAAACGGGCGUAUUGUUUCUUAGCUUAGCUCUCUGUUUUAUUGUGUUUUCACCAAUGAUGCUCCAUCACUCGCUGUCCUUGUUUCUAUAAGCAACUACACACUUUAGAGCAUCUCCAAUAGACGGUCCAAAUGUAAAAAUACCUAACUUUUGGACCGUCUGGAGCAAAAAACCCUGCUUCAACAGACGGUCCAUAUGUAAAAAAAUGGACCGCGGCCUCCUCGUGAUAUAAAAUACAACACCUCACAGUGCAAAUUUACAUCACGAGGUGCAUCUGGUCCAAAACCAGACGCCGCCCGCGAACGCCCAACCGCCAGUUCCUUUCCUUUCCCGCCCGCCCGCCCGGCCGCCGCCGCCAUGGCCGAAGGCGACGACCCCGCCGCUUUCUCCGCCGCCGCCGCAGCCGGUGGGCUGACCCACGUGGCCGCCGCCGCCNNNNNNNNNNNNNNNNNNNNNNNNNNNNNNNNNNNNNNNNNNNNNNNNNNNNNNNNNNNNNNNNNNNNNNNNNNNNNNNNNNNNNNNNNNNNNNNNNNNNNNNNNNNNNNNNNNNNNNNNNNNNNNNNNNNNNNNNNNNNNNNNNNNNNNNNNNNNNNNNNNNNNNNNNNNNNNNNNNNNNNNNNNNNNNNNNNNNNNNNNNNNNNNNNNNNNNNNNNNNNNNNNNNNNNNNNNNNNNNNNNNNNNNNNNNNNNNNNNNNNNNNNNNNNNNNNNNNNNNNNNNNNNNNNNNNNNNNNNNNNNNNNNNNNNNNNNNNNNNNNNNNNNNNNNNNNNNNNCGGCCCGGAUUCGCGCCGCCCCGGCCGGUGGCCACCGCGACGGCGGCGAAGGGACGAGGCGGCGGAAAACGGCCGGCCAACCGCAGCCACAACCCGACCGACAGUUCUACGCGGCCGGUGAAGGUCUCCAAGGCGGCCGCGGCGGCUCGGGGCGACAACUCGCAGCCGGUGCGGCCGGCGGCCUCCUCCAGCAACCACACAUCCAUUCCUCAACCUCCCCCGCCAGCCGUGGAGGAAGAUGUGGCCACGCCGAUGGCCACUGCCUCCAACAUGUUCGAGGAAAUGUCGCAAGCUCUCGUUUGUUGUUUCAAAUUGUAUGUGUUCUUGAUUGUUUGUGCGUCCAAUUGUAGUCUUGAUGAUGAAGCUUUCAUGCACGCGACAAAUGUGGCAAAUGAUGAUUACAUAUAUGCGUCACAAGAAUAUGAAACCCAAUAUGAUGAUGACAAUCUUGAUGUGGACGAUGAGGGCUUUGUUGUCAAGGGAAGAAGUGGAAAUUAUACCACCGCGGAGGAUGUGUUGAUAUGCACCGCUUGGAAGAAAAUCUCUCAAGAUGCAAGCGUUGGAAGCGACCAAACGGUGAACACCUAUUGGCAACGCAUCAAGGAGUACUUCGAUGAGCGCAACACAAGUGGUCACUUCCGUUCGAGCGACUCUCUACACCAACGUUGGUCCACCAUCAACGCCGAAUGCCAAAACUGGGCCGGUUGCUUGUCAAACGUUGCUCGCAUGAACCCAAGUGGUUGCGGUGAUAGUGACUUGGUAAAUAUUCCCUCUUCGUGCGUGCUUUGUCAAAUAUUUCCUCUUUGUUCCACAUGUUGAUGAUGAUGUGUUACUUGUUUUAUUGUAGAAAAUGAUUGCACAAGGAUUGUUUCGAGAGAGGAACAUGAAAGGCGAGAAGAAGAAAAGGAAAGGAAAACCUUUCACUUUUCAUCAUUGCUACAAAGAGCUCAAGGAUGAGGAGAAGUGGAAAACUAGAGAGACUUUUGAAUCGCCGAAGAAGAAGAGUGCGGUGCUUGAGGAUGAAGAAGAUGUUGCCAUUGAGGAGACGAGCCCCACUCCUCACUCCGUGACAAAAUCUUAUAGGCCCGAUGGAAACAAGAAAGCGAAGGGAACCAAGGCCGGAGACAAUGAUCUCAAGGAAGGAUUUGAUGGCGAGGAAAGAGAAUGCCGAAGAAAAAGAAUCUUGAAGCUCAAGGAAAUAGAGGAGAGGAGUGAGGCCGAGCGGCGAAGGGCGGCGGCCGAGGAGAAGAGGGCGGCGACCGAGGAGAGGUUGGCCGCGGCCGAGGAGAGGAAGGUGGACCUAGAGGAGAAGAAGGCCGCGGCCGACGAGAUGAAGGUGGUUGAGGAGAGGACUGUUGGGGAACGUAGCAAUAAUUCAAAAUUUUCCUACGUAUCACCAAGAUCAAUCUAGGAGAUGCUAGCAACGAGAGAGAGGGAGUGCAUCUUCAUACCCUUGAAGAUCGCUAAGCGGAAGCGUUACAAGAAUGCGGUUGAUGGAGUCGUACUCGCGGCGAUUCAAAUCGCGGAAGAUCCGAUCUAGCGCCGAACGGACGGCGCCUCCGCGUUCAACACACGUACAGCCCGGGGACGUCUCCUUCUUCUUGAUCCAGCAAGGGGAGAGGAGAAGUUGAGGGAGAACUUCAGCAGCACGACGGCGUGGUGGCAAUGGAGCUCGUGGUUCUCCGGCAGAGCUUCUCUAAGCACUACGUAGGAGGAGGAGGAGUUGGAGGAGGAGAGGGCUGCGCCAGGGAAGAGGUACGGCUGCCCUCCCACCCCUCCACUAUAUAUAGGGGCAAGGGGAGAGGGGAAGGCGCCCUAGGGUUUCCCCUAGGGGGCGGCGGCCAAGCAGAUUGGAUCUCCCUAGGGAAAAUCCUAGGGAGACUUGCCCCCCAAGCCAAGCAGGUGGAGGCUUUCCUCCCAAGUCAGGUGGAGGCGCCCCACCUCCCCAAGUAACGUGGGAAAGGGUGUGGGGGGCGCACCACCCCUUAGUGGGCUGGUUUGCCCCUUCCCCUUUGGCCCAUGAGGCCCUCCAACACUUGCCGGGGCUCCCGAAACACCUUUCGGUCAUGCUGGCCAUAGCCUGGUACCCCCGGAACACUUCCGGACUCCAAUACCCUUCGUCCAAUAUAUCGAUCUUCACCGCCGGACCAUUCCGGAACUCCUCGUGACGUCCGGGAACACAUCCGGGACUCCGAACUACCUUCGGUAACCACAUACUAUUUCCCAUAACAACUCUAGUGUCACCGAACCUUAAGUGUGUAGACCCUACGGGUUCGGGAACCAUGCAGACAUGACCAAGACACCUCUCCGGCCAAUAACCAAUAGCGGGAUCUGGAUACCCAUAUUGGCUCCCACAUGUUCCACGAUGAUCUCAUCGGAUGAACCACGAUGUCGGGGAUUCAAUCAAUCCCGUAUACAAUUCCCUUUGUCUAUCGGUAUGUUACUCGCCCGAAAUUCGAUCGUCGGUAUCCCAAUACCUCGUUCAAUCUCGUUACCGGCAAGUCACUUUACUCGUCCUGUAACGCAUGAUCCCGUGGCUAACUCAUUAGUCACACUGAGCUCAUUAUGAUGAUGCAUUACCGAGUGGGCCCAGAGAUACCUCUCCGUCAUACGGAGUGACAAAUCCCAGUCUUGAUUCGUGCCAACCCAACAGACACUUUCGGAGAUACUUGUAAUGCACCUUUAUAGCCACCCAGUUACGUUGUGACGUUUGGUACACCCAAAGUAUUCCUACAGUAUCCGGGAGUUGCACAAUCUCAUGGUCUAAGGAAAUGAUACUUGACAUUAGAAAAGCUCUAGCAAACGAACUACACGAUCUUGUGCUAUGCUUAGGAUUGGGUCUUGUCCAUCACAUCAUUCUCCUAAUGAUGUGAUCACGUUAUCAAUGACAUCCAAUGUCCAUGGUCAGGAAACCAUAACCAUCUAUUGAUCAACGAGCUAGUCAACUAGAGGCUUACUAGGGACAUGUUGUGGUCUAUGUAUUCACACAUGUAUUACGAUUUCUAGUUAAUACAAUUAUAGAAUGAACAAUAGACAAUUAUCAUGAACAAGGAAAUACAAUAAUAACCAUUUUAUUAUUACCUCUAGGGCAUAUUUUCAACAAGGACACUCAAGUUUAUGUUUAUGGACACAUCAACUCUUGAUGCCAAGGCAAAGGCAUAUGUUGAACUUUGUCGCGAUGAAAUGUGAAGAAGCAAAUGCUCAUGAGGCAAAUGAUGAUGGGAGGAGGCAUGGGAGGUGCCAUGGGAGGAGGCAUAGGAGGUGCCAUGGGUGGUUACAUGAACAUGAUUGGGGGUUCCAUGAAUGGUGCAUUUGGCGGAAAUAUGGGAGGUGGCUUCGGUGGCAACAUGGAAGGUGGCUUUGGCGGCAUGGGAGGUGGCUUUGGCGACAACAUGAUGGGUGGCUUGGGACGUGGCUAUGGCGGCAACAUGAGUGGCGUUGGAGUUGGCUUCGUCGGCAACAUGACCGGUAUGGGACGCAAUGAAGAUGCUUCCGGUGGUGCUCACGGCAACGAGAGUUCACCGCUUGUUGAGAACGUCGACAAAGACGGUGGUGAAGAUGAUGAUCAUACCACGGUUCACAACGCCGGUGGUGUUGAUGACCCGCAUGAGUAAUAUUUAUGUGCAUUUCAAUUUCUAGGGCGAAAAACUUUGAUUGAGACGACGGUCUUUUGGUAGAGGGAUUUGAUACUAUGAUGGUGAUGCACUUUUGAUUGAAACUAUGAUGAUGAUGCACUUUAUUUUCAAAAAAAAUUAUGCUAUUUCAAUGCAAAACCGCGGCUGAACAGUGGCUGGCAGCAGCCGCACGGCCGUUUUCAGAUUUUUACAUCUUUGGUUUGGACCAUCUAUUGGAGUUGCUCUUUUGGACCAUCAAUUUGGACCAUUUGUUGGAGUUGAGCGUUUCUCGGAGCUCCAAAAUGCACCUUUUGACGGUCCAAAUUUUAUAUCUUCGGUUUUGGACCGCCAAAAUUUGAACCAUCUAUUGGAGAUGCUCUUAUGUUUGUGCAUAUGAAAUUCUGAAGUUGUGCUUAUAAAUUUUUUGUGGUGUAUGGUUGCAGGAUAUCCAUGCCGAGGCUGCAAAGAAGAGGCGGCUCACAACCAAAAGGCCGUAUUCCAGGUCCUUUGUCGGUGCUUCCCUUGAUGUUAUCUAGAAGAAGAGAGCCGAGAAGCCUGAGGUUCGUGAUGCAGCCAGGAAAGCAGCUCUCCGGUAGCACUUCCUUCUCCCUGGCUUCCGACUCCUGCUUCUAGAUAUUGUGAUGUGCUAUACCAUGAAAACUAGCAUGAACCAACAUGUUCUUCUUAUGUUGCAUGUCAAACUAGGAUUGUUAUACCUGUCAACUGAGCAUCAUCCGUGUAAUAUCCACUAUGUGUUUUUGUUCCUGUUUAAUCAAUGCACAAACAUGAGCGCAGUCUUGGCACCUUGAUUUUCUAUAUGAUGUGUAUCUGUGAGUUAUUUAUAGUGGUAACUGUUGUACAAGAGUGAGAUCAAAGAGCGCAUCAAGAAGACCAAGGACGAGAAGAGAGCUAAGAAGGUGGAGGUGACGAAGUCCUAGAGAAGACCGUUGGAAGAGGCAACGCCCCCAAACCCGGGAAGGCCUCCAAGCUUUGCGGCGGCGGGGGGAAGCGCUAGGCAGCAACACCCAGUUAUGUGAUCAACGUCAAAUUCUGAACCUAGUAGUUAUGUGAUGGCUUACCCAGUAUCUUCAGGAAUGUUUUGCGGGGAUCAAAGUUCAUGCUUGUCAGAGGUGUUAUUCUGUACUUGCUGUUUGCUACUUCUUCUACCUAUCAAUGCAAUGAUGCGGUGCGUAUCCGUGAAAAAAAGUAGAGGUUGUUUCUUCUGUUUAUUAUACAGUAUAUCUGAUCAAUGUGAAGAUUGUGAGUGUGUGUUUAUCCAAUUGGUGUUUCUUUCGCACCACGCUGUUGAUUAUUUGUCCGAAACCUAUCGAAGCCGGUCUUCGUAGUUCGUAGACCCUUUCUCAUGACACGCCUGUCAUUAUCCACGAAGUUUCCACUUAAUAACUCGAUGUUAAUCGAUGCGGCGCACGGCCGAAAUAUCGUCGGAGCGCGACCUUGUGAGGUGAUGCUGCUUUUGGCUGGGUCAGGCCGCCACGGAAGCAGUUGAUUCAACGGCCGUGGUCGCCAAGCACUUACUCCGUUACUCGUACAGUAGGAGUAGUAGAUUAGUCCUGGUAGGUGUUGAGAUUAAUUCAGCGGGCUGGUCGGUGCCUGGUUCAGCGCACCUUGAUCCCGGAGAAAACUAAGGUUCAGUGAACCUCGUACCAACACCAACCCCAGGGAGCACGUGCUUUGCCUUUCACAAUUUGUUUAGCGUGAUUGUCUUGAUAAGACCGAAGGGGUGGCUUAAAGAAAGGAUCGUUGUCUCAGACGGACAGGAUCAUAUCCGAUCGUACGGCUAGUCGGCGCCGACAUGUCACUUAAGCGACAGAAAAGCACGUGGUAGGUGAAGCUCGCCGCAUGCUUUCUUCGGAGAUUGUUUGCGCAAAUCACGUGUGAUAUUCUGUUCAUCUGACUAAAGAUUGUUGUCUAGUUUGCAUCUACUAACUCAGGAUCUACAACCGGACCUCUCAAAUCCGAUCCGCCUCAUACGUCCGGAUGGACCGUCCGUUUACUGCCUGAUCAUUAUUUUUUGACCCAGACAUGUCCCUUAAACGCUCAGGCUGACUGGCACCCAUAUGUCCAGCCCAAAUAUGGGGUGGAUAAGGGGUGCCUGGGCGCAUCCGGACACGCCUGCCGCGUCAGACCCGACAGCCUGACCCCAUUCCAAAUUGCAUCAAAUCCACCAAACUCUUCCUCCUCCUCCAGCCGCCAGCCAACCAUUCCCGUGUUCGGACCCUCCCCGUCCUUCACCCUUGCUCCCAAUCCUCACCUCAGGUCCCGAUACAUCGCCGAAGAUGUCCUCCAGCCCGACCCACACCGCUGCGACAGAGACGCAGUCCGCCUCGUCCGUCGGCGGCAUGAUUUCGUCGGCGAAGAACGUCACCCACAAGUUGCGGUGAUGCCGACAGCGAAAGAGGGAGGCGGCGGCGUCGCAGCGGGGUUCGGACAUGGUGGAGCAGUUGUCUCCUCCGCCUCGCCCGGAUGCAAGCAGAGCAGGACGAGCAUGACGCAUUCCGCUCGGAGCAGGCGCCCAGCCAGCGAUCCGAGGCCAUCUGUCACGCUCGGACAUUGAUUUCAUUUUGCCAUGUCCGGUUUGGUGAACUAUGAUUUGUUUUUGCUUUGUUUCAAACUUUGGCAUUCAGAUAGUUUGUACCGUAUGAUCGACAUGCAUUGAUUGGAUGAAUUUGAGGAUCGAAAUUUACGGUAUGUGGAUGUAUGUGGAUGUGCGGCGCAACAUUUGAGGGGUGUCCAGUCAUUGCCCGCGGAUGCAUCCGGGCGUGUCCGUGGGCGUUUAAGGGCCUGAUGUGCCAAGUCCGUUGUAGAUGCUCUAAACGUUCUUAUAUUUCUUUGCAAAGAGAGUAAUAAUCAAAUUUAAAAAAAAGGAGUUUUGUUCUGUUCAUCUAACUAAAGAUUUCUGUCUAGUUUGCAUCUAACAAUCCAAUUAAAAGGGAGUUUUGUUCAGAUUUUGGGAUGAAAAUCUGCAUUGCCGUAGCUUUGAGAUGGCUCCCCGCUGUAUGUGUAAGGGCGGUUUGAGCAGGCUAGAAAUCUUGAGCUCGGUCAGCAACUUGCAAAAGCUAUCCGUUGGACUUGAGAUCGAGGUUGAUCCUCCUCCAAUGAAUCGAAGUCACUCCUGUGUCAGCUUCGUUUGUGUCCCUCAGCGCCUGGCGUGGCAUGCCAAUGAGUGUUGAUGGGCACACGACCUCGCUUCACUCCCCUCUACCAGGCAGGGAUGGGAUCGACCUCCAGCCUCGUGUAUGCAGUAGGUCGCAGACAAAGUUCCAGCGGAAAGGCGUUCACACCAUCUCGGGCGUCCGUGCAGGUGCAGGUGCAGUGCACCCCGGCCCAUGCGAGCAAGUGGAUCAUUGCGCUCUACUAGAAGAAAAAAAAAAUGCAUGGUACAUCUGUUAGCUCAGCAUCGGGCCGUGCCUGCCGCAGCCACGUACGCCGAGGCCGUCGACCCGAUCGACCACCCACGCCUUUCCGAUAUGUCCCCGACGUGUCUCCGUGCGUGUCGCUCGCGGUCGACACCCACCGAGAGCGACGGCACGUCGCACGUCCGACCCACCCACUUGACCCCGGCUUCCCUCCCCAGAAAUGUGGACCACGUCGCGGCCCGGACGCCGAUGCACCUGGACACCCCACGCCGAGCAGCACGCACAGGACUGGAGAUCGACCGAUCGUGUCGACGCGCGCCCAGCGCCACGCGACGGCCCGCGACUCGGUGGUCACCGUCGCACGCUGCGCGACAAGGAAGGCCGGGCGGGGGAAAGCGCGCUGCGCUUUUCGGCGUGGCAUGUGUCCGGCCAGGGCCAGCCGCCUGGUGCGGGUGUGGGCCGACUCGGCCGCGAACGAUCCGGUGGACCGGUUGGUCGCCGCGUGUGCGGCUGCGUGACCGCAACAAUACGGGGGAAAAGCGCAGGACUGUGUCGCGACUUGCGAGGGGAUAAUCUAGCGCUGCUGCGGUGUGGUGUGGUGCACCCGCGGGCGAAUCUUGCCGACGAGUGCCGAGCCUGCAUCGCGGUGGCAGCGACCCGCGAUGAUUCGAUCAGCCGUUUCCGGCGCUCCUACUAUCUCCGUCCUGGUUUAUUAUCUCCCUUUAUAAUUUGUGCUAAGUUUUAAUCAAAGAUUUAACUGAUAAAAUGUUAGUGCAUGUCAAUAAAAUUAUAUGUUGGAUUCGUAUUUUUAACAUAGUUUUAAUGAUAUACUUUUUAGUGACAUGCAUGAACAUUUUGUAAGUUAAAUUUACUAUCAAAAUUUGGCACAGAUUACAAUGGAGGCCAAUAAAACAGGACGGAGGUAGUACUCCCUCCGUCCGGAAAUACUUGUCGAAGAAAUGCAUAAAAAUGGAUGUAUCUAGAACUAAAAUACGUCUAGAUACAUUCAUUCCUCCGACGAGUAUUUCCGGACGGAGGGAGUAUGUGCUAUUGUUGCGAGGUCGCGUCCGGAAGUGACGGGAGAGAAAGGGCUCUCGGUUGACGGGUAGAUCUUAUGGCAAUUCCAAAGCGCCGACACAUUUCGCGUGGACAUGUAGCGCUGCGUCCUUCCUUGGUGUGAUGUAGCGAACGCCCGCGGCGUCCUUCCUUGGUGUGAUCGUCUGUGGCACAUCAUCUCCAUUCCCAUCAUUUCUCUCCCGCCCUCCCGCCAUGGCCGUCCACCUCGUGGGCCCGAAGAAGCUGAUGAAGGAGAUCACCCAGGAGGAGAGUGCGGCCGGGACGACGAAGCAAGCCAACCGAAGGAAGAGGGGCAAGGAAAAAAGGAGACACCACAUACACUCACGCCAUCACCGUCAAGGCCGCGCAAACUGCCCUCCUCCUACUAGAGUUUCGUGAUCCGACCUGCUCGCCGCCGCCACGUCGGCACGCCGGCCCAAGCUACCGGAGUCGUCGCGCAUGUCAACAACGUUGCCGAUGUACGGGUAAUUUCCCGGACACGACCCGACAACGUCCCACUAUUCCAUGUAACCUCGGGAAGGAUCACCGGAAAUGGGUGACUCCAUGUCGAUCAUCUUGUGGUGCCUUCCAUUGAUCUCAAUGCCACACCUAUGGCUGGCUAGUCCACCGGGACGCAAAGUAAGUGCCUGCCGGCGGUCUACCCGACAACUUUCUCGAUGCCCGCAACCUAUUUGAUGUAAGCCGCGUAUUGAGGACUGUGAGCUUAACAAUGAGAGGCCAUGUUCAAUUGUUGUUGAAGCAGACGAUGUUAGGGCAUCUCCAACGGCAACCCGCAAAAAACCUCCCACAUUCGUCCACAUACAGGGGGGCCAGUCCGCGGACACGGAUACGGGAGGCAGCCAUCCGACGCUAGCCGCAUACAUUUUCACAACAACUCAAACCAACCGGACAAAAUUCAUGCAAACACGUGCGGAUUUCAUGUGAACUCGACCGGAUUUCAUACAAACAUGACAGAUUUCAUAUAAACAUGACGAGUUUCAGUACAUUUACAUCAACGGUGCUACUCCGGCUCUGAAGGUAUAGUUAAUACCUAAUCUAAAUUGCCGCCCGCGGACUCCUUUGUCUUCCUCAUGUCCAGCAGCCCAAUCACUGGAUUGUCGGGACCCACGAAGCCGAAGGUAUAAGCUUCAGCGCAAAGGACAGCUCGCUUCCCCGCCACUCAUCGAAGUGUAACCCCGGUUGAUGCUUCAGCGGGAGGGGCAGGCGGUGCCUCCGCUUCUGUGAAGCCCAUGUGGGAUCGACAAAGGUCCUCGAAAGAGAAGAACCGGGCAAGACACCGACUGUGUACGCCGGUGUCGCCUAGGCGGUGGCCUUCGUGGGACCCAAGUGGCGGCUGACUCCAUUGUUCUACUUCUCCUCGAUGAUGGCGGCGGACGCGGAUGCACCGGCCACUGAGUCGUCGCUCUCCGCGCACUCGGCUUCUGCCUCUACCUGCAUGGUGUGGUCGUAGGCCCGAGAGGCGCGGUUGCAGGCACAAAAGGCGCGGUCACAGAAGCGGGAGGCGCGGUGGUCGACGGCAGCGAUGACGCCCGUGCCGUUGUGCUCCCCGUCGUGUCGAUGUCGAGCAACUGACCACUCCUCAUCGGGUGGUCCUGGAGUGGGGAGUUGCUGAACCACGCGACGGCUUGGGGCGGCAACUUGCUCCGUCGGGUGAAGCUCGGGAGGUGGAGCAGCGAGCUGCCUCGCUCGUAUCCGGCCGACUCGGCGGGCUACCUAGCAGGCUUGUAUGCUAGAGAACUGCUCUUCGUAAGCCAUCAGAAGAGUGGGGGAGGAGGACAUUGGGGGAGCGGCGGAGGGGUGUGGUUCUUUCCCGGUGUCUGCCGUCGUUUAAAUAUGGAACUUGCCAUUGUGUUACUUUUUAUGCCACUAUUUAAUCAUACACCAACUGUCUUUGUCCUUGGUUGAAAACGUACCACCACCCCCUCUCCCUCCACCCUAGUGUCAUCGUUGAAUGAUGCCACCGACCUAAGCUUGUACACUAAACUAGCGGCAAAGGGGUUCCUUGCAACAAUUUCCUCGAAGGUUCGGGGUAUGGUCUCCCUCAUUGAACAGCACCUUCGGUGGCCGAGAGCAGGCAUUGCCCUCGGGCACCGGUGAGGACGCAUUUGCACACGACAUGGCUCUCGUGCGGCCUUUUGUUACAAUUACAACUAUGUGGAUAUUGCAACAGACCUGGCCAGACUCCAGUGAGGUGGAAUAUGGGCAUGCAGGGAUAGACAGACCAACUAGCCAUGUGAUUGGGAAAUGUGAGGUUGGCGAUGAAAGCCAUGGUAAACUUUGAUUGGAGCAGAUGAUGCCGUAUCUAGGUGGCAUUACUUUGUUGUAGGCGUCAAAGGGUAUAGUUCUUGUCUUCCGGGAUGCUCGGGAGAAACCAUAGAUUUUGGUCUUCCGAGGUCAAUCGAUUAAUUGGGCAUUCUUGUGUCUCUGAUUAUCCCACGAUUCUCCGGUUUUAUUAUGCGGAUCAGAGGCAAUUAUAAUCAUUCCGUUGAUCAAUGUUUAAUCUUUUCAGAAUAACAAUUCUAAAGAAAAUAACCACUAGAGUUUCAUCUUCAUACUUAUUCUGUCUCAAAAUGUAGACGUUCUUUGAUACUAUCAUAACGUUAAAAAAUGUCUUAUACAUUUUAAAUGCAUAUUUGACAAAAAAACUACCACAUUUCACGUCAUCGUCCCACAGUACUAUCGCAUUUUGAAAAGUGACCGAAAACUCCAGAUUAGUACUAAUUUUGUGACAAAAAAACUACCAACUUGAGUUGAUGACCGUUUUUAUGAUUUUAAACCUGUUUAUGACAUGCGGGACCCGCGUGUCAAAGCUGACAUGGCGAGAAAGUCAACUCCUUUAUUUUUUACCAUCAAGUUGACUGAUGGGGCCCACACAUCAACAUCAACUUCUUCCUCCUCCUCCUCCUCUCUCUCUAUGUGGCAUUUUAACAAACACUUCAUGUGCACACAUGGGGAUGAGCAGCAGUGCAUGGCCACCGGCCGCAGCCGCGGCCACAGGCGACGAGCAGCAUUAGAGGCCAGUACGACCAUGCGCAGCAGCUCGCCCUGCCGCCCCCACACCUGCUGCUCGCCGGCGGCCCUUGCUGCCACGAGAAGCCGAGAAUGGUGUCGUGCCCGCCUCCUGGUCAACAACGGUGGUUCACGACCUCGCGCUCGCCAUCGGAGGACGAGGCGUUCGUGCGGGUCGUCGCGCUCUACGUCGACGACGGCGACGCCAUGCACCCUGGCUUCCUCGAGUCGGUAGACCCAGGAGGCGGCCUCGAGCGUGCAGGCGGCCGAGUUCCACCAGGGCUACCGGAAGGGCGCGGAGGCCCUGUACCAGUAGGCCUUGUAGGCGGCGUCGGCUAGGGAGCAGGGCAGGAGGAAGCAGGCGAGGACGCGGAAGGAGUGGUUGAGCUGCGCGGUGUAGCCGGCGCGCACCUCAUCCGAGUCGUGUCGGAGACGGUCGAUGCAGAGCACGGGGCGGAGGCCGACCAGGAGCAGUGAGCAGAGGGAGAGGAAGGCGAGCGUGGCGGUUGUUGGGAAUCGUUGCAUGGAAAAUAAAAAAAUUCAACGCACACGCAAUGAUCUAUCCAUGGAGAUGCAUAGCAACGAAGGGAAAAGUAUGUCUACGUACACUCGUAGACCGUAAGCGGAAGCGUUUAAUAACGCGGUUGAUGUAGUCAAACUUUCUUCGUGCUCCAACCGAUCUAGUAUCAAACGCACGCCACCUCCGCGUUCUGCACACGUUCGACUCGGGGAUGUCCUACGCCUUCUUGAUCCAGCAAGACGGCGAGGUAGUAGCUGAGUUCCGACAGCACGAAGGCGUGGUGACGGUGAUGGUGAUGUGAUCUCUGCAGGGAUUCACCUAAGCACUACGAAAAUAUGAUCGAGGGAGUAAACGGUGGACGGGGGCGCCGCACAUGGCUAAGACAAUCUUGUGUCCUUGUGUGGCGCCCCCACCCCACAUAUAUAUAUAGGUGGAAGGGGGGAGGAGGCAGCCUAGGGCUGGCUGCCGGCCCAAGGGCUCCUGCGCCCCCUUUCCUUGUAUGAAUAAGGGGGAAGGAAAGAGGGGGGGGAGGAAGCGGGAGUCCUACUCCACACUUUCCUUUCCCACCCCUCUUUCCUUCUCCUCCUCAUAGGGCCGACCUCUAUAGGGGUGCACCAGCCCCUUGUGGGCUGGUGUGUUUCCUCUGUUGGCCCAUAAGGCCCAGAUCUUUGCCGGGGGUGUCCGAAACUCCUUUCCGGUGACCCGAUAAGUACUCGGUACCCUCCGAAACACUAUCGGUGUACGAAUACCAUCAUCCUAUAUAUCAAUAUUUACCUCUCGACCAUUUCGAGACUCCUCGUCAUGUCCGUGAUCUCAUCCAGGACUCCGAACAAAUUUCGGUCACCAAAUCACAUAACUCAUAUAAUAUUAUAUCGUCAACAAACGUUAAGCGUAGGGACCCUACGGGUUCGAGAACUAUGUAGACAUGACCGAAACACCUCUCCGGUAAAUAACCAAUAGCGGAACCUGGAUGCCCAUAUUGGCUCCUACAUAUUCUACGAAGAUCUUUAUCGGUCGAACCGUUACGACAACAUAUGGAAUUCCCUUUGUCCAUCGGUAUGUUACUUGCCCGAGAUUCAAACAUCGGUAUCUCUAUACCUAGUUCAAUCUCGUUACCGGCAAGUCUCUUUACUCGUUCCGUAAUACAUCACCUCGUGACCAACUCCUUAGUCAUUUGCUUGCAAGCUUAUGAUGUGUAUUAACGAGAGGGCCCAGAGAUACCUCUCUGAUAUUCGGAGUGACAAAUCCUAAUCUCGAUCUAUGCCAACUCAAUAAACACCUUUGGAGAUACCUGCAGAGCAUCUUUAUGAUCACACAGUUAUGUUGUGACAUUUGAUAGCACACAAGGUAUUCCUCCGGUAUCCGGGAGUUGCAUAAUCUCAUAGUCGAAGGAAUAUGUAUUUGACAUGAAGAAAGCAAUAGCAAUAAAACUGAACCAUCAUUAUGCUAAGCUAACGGAUGGGUCUUGUCCAUCACAUCAUUCUCCUAAUGAUGUGAUCCCGUUAUCAAAUGACAACUCAUGUCCAUGGUCAGGAAACCUUAACCAUAUUUGAUCAAUGAGCUAGUCUAGUAGAGGCUUACAAGGGACACAGUGUUUGUUUAUGUAUUCACACAUGUAUUUAAGUUUUCGAUCAAUACAAUUAUAGCAUGAAUAAUAAACCUUAUCAUGAAUAAGGAAAUAUAAAAUAACAACUUUAUCAUUUCCUCUACGGCAUAUUUCCUUCAGCGGCCAGGGUGAGGGACACCUACACCUGCCCGUCCAGGGGCCGCGGUGGCGCGGAGGCCGGGAGGGUGAGGGUGAUAUGAGGUGGCGACGACGAGCUCCUCUCAUCGGAUGAUGCACAUGAGGUAUUUGUUAAAAUGCCAAAGAGGGAGGGAGAGAGGAGGAAGAAGAAUGAUGUGUGGGCCCCACCUGUACUAAUGGUCAACGUAGCUGUCAAAAUAAACGGAAUUGACUUUCCCGCCACGUCAGCUCUGACACGCGGGUCCCGCAUGUCAUAAAAGGUUUAAAAUCAUAAAAUGGUCAUGAACUCAACUUGGUAGUUUUUUGUCACAAAAUUAAUACUAAUCUGGAGUUUACGGUCAUUUUUCAAAAUGUAGUAGUUAUGUGGGACGAUGACGUGAAAUGUGGUAGUUUUUUUGUCAAAUACUAGAGGGAGCACACUUGAAUGGCGGAUAAGAGGGACAUGAACAUGAUAGAUGCUCCAUUUCACUGACAACGCAUAAAGUCUAUCACUUCAGUUCAAGCUUAUCUGGACAAUCGAUCAAUAGUGCUUUCUUUUGUUGACUGUGGUUGUGAUGAGCGCACCGCGCACGCACGCUAUGUCGUGGAGGGCAGAUCAGGUGAUCACACUCCAGAUUCCGCGUAUAGCACCAAACACGCUUAGCCACGCCUAGGGCAUCAUUUGGUCAGGGCUGAACACAGGAGCAAUCCUCCUGCUCAUAUACCGGAGGCUGGAGACUUCUUUCGCCUCUCUAAAAAACUAUUUUAGUCAAAUAACUUGGUUCCCACGUAACUGGAUGUUAAUCCCGCUGCGGCGCUCGGAGGCCGCCAUGCCGUCGUAAGAACGCGACCUGCCGAUCUGACAUUUCUCUGAGAAAUGCGUCGUCUGAACCGGUCGUGGCCGUCGAUCGGGUCCUCUUUGUGCCGGUAGGUAUGUAGAAUUGCUGCGGCUGCAGCUUUUGACGGCGGCUCUCGGUGGUUGCUUUGCUAGGUUCAGUGUACCUUUGCCUUUCUUUGCUCCGGUCCAUUGCAAGAAAAUGUUCGGUGUACCGCUCCGCUCAUACGACCGAUCUGAGGAGCACGUGCGAUGUUUGUUUAGCAUGCAUGGUUGUAUUACGGAUAAAACUGGAGGCGAUCGUUGUCGCGGACAACAUUACGGCUCGGCGGCGCCGACGUAUCACUUCCCAAUGAAAAAAGCAAGUGGCAGACAGAGUGUACGCACGGGCUUUCUUAGAGCAUGGCGGCCUCCGAAUGUCGCGGACGAUAUUAUGGCUCGGCAGGCGCCCCAAACCGGCCUCGAACGCCCGGUCGGCCCUUCCGAUCAUUGAUCGAUCACGAUUUUCCGAUCUAAGCGGGUCCUUCAAAUGGGACUCAAACGUCCGGGCUGUCCGACAUCCUUUAUAUCCAGCCUAAAUAAAUGGUGAAUAUAGGGCGUCCGGGCACGUCCGCCACGUCGAUCUGACGACGAAGUCCCACGCGUAAACGUCCGGAAACCCGGCAGUCCGACGGAGGUUGCGUCCGUCGCUGUGGUGUGAACACCGCGUGGCGCCGCUCCGGCUCACCGUCCAAGACCAAAUCCGGCUAUUUAAGCCGGCCGGCGUCCCGCAACCCUAACUCAUCCGCCUCUCCCUUCUCCGCGCCGCCAGUCCGAGCCCAUCCACCUCCUCCCUCUCCCGCUCAGGCGCUUCGCCACGGUUCGGAGGAAGAUCACCUACUACGCAAUGCUCACACCGGAGCGCCACUACGAGAUCCGGGCGAGACAAGCCGCGCGUUCUGCCCACAUCGUUGUCGGGUUGCCUUCGGACUCGCCGGAGCCGGAGGAGGAGGAGGAGCAGCCAGCAGAAGAGGGGGAGGAGGAGGCUUCGAUGAAGGUGGAGGAGACGGAGGAGGCGGAGCAGCAGGAGCAGGAGUUGCCGGGCUUCAACGGGAGCAGGCGGAGGCGGAGUUCGCCAUCGCCUAGUCGGAGAGAUGGCGCAGCAGCAGGCCAUCCUCGAGUCCGUCCAGGAUGAGACUAUGUGGAGGCCAACCGGGCGUUCCUCCGACACGAGUAGGCGGCGUCCCGACGCGCUCUUCGCCGAACUCGACGCGGAGACAGAGGUGUCGGAGGCCGGAGCGUAGCAACCGGAGGUGUCGGAGGAGCCAGAGCUGCAGCUGCUGAAGGAAAUAUGCCCUAGAGGCAAUAAUAAAGUUAUUAUUUAUUUCCUUAUAUCAUGAUAAAUGUUUAUUAUUCAUGCUAGAAUUGUAUUAACCGGAAACCUGAUACAUGUGUGAAUACAUAGACAAACAGAGUGUCACUAGUAUGCCUCUACUUGACUAGCUCGUUGAUCAAAGAUGGUUAUGUUUCCUAGCCAUAGACAUGAGUUGUCAUUUGAUUAACGGGAUCACAUCAUUAGGAGGAUGAUGUGAUUGACUUGACCCAUUCCGUUAGCUUAGCACUCGAUCGUUUAGUAUGUUGCUACUGCUUUCUUCAUGACUUAUACAUGUUCCUAUGAUUAUGAGAUUAUGCAACUCCCGUUUACCGGAGGAACACUUUGUGUGCUACCAAACGUCACAACGUAACUGGGUGAUUAUAAAGGUGCUCUACAGGUGUCUCCGAAGGUACUUGUUGGGUUGGCGUAUUUCGAGAUUAGGAUUUGUCACUCCGAUUGUCGGAGAGGUAUCUCUGGGCCCUCUCGGUAAUGCACAUCACUAUAAGCCUUGCAAGCAUUGUAACUAAUGAGUUAGUUGCGGGAUGAUGUAUUACGGAACGAGUAAAGAGACUUGCCGGUAACGAGAUUGAACUAGGUAUUGAGAUACCGACGAUCCAAUCUCGGGCAAGUAACAUACCGAUGACAAAGGGAACAACGUAUGUUGUUAUGCGGUCUGACCGAUAAAGAUCUUCAUAGAAUAUGUGGGAGCCAAUAUGAGCAUCCAGGUUCCGCUAUUGGUUAUUGACCGGAGACGUGUCUCGGUCAUGUCUACAUAGUUCUCGAACCCGUAGGGUCCGCACGCUUAAAGUUCGAUGACGGUGAUAUUAUGAGUUUAUGUGUUUUGAUGUACCGAAGGUAGUUCGGAGUCCCGGAUGAGAUCGGGGACAUGACAAGGAGUCUCAAAAUGGCCGAGAAGUAAAGAUCGAUAUAUUGGACGACUAUACUUGGACUUCGGAUAGGUUCCGAGUGAUUCGGGUAUUUAUCGGAGUACCGGAGAGUUACGAGAAUUCGCCGGGGAGAAGUAUUGGGCCUUAUUGGGCCAUACGGGAAUAGAGGAGAGAGGCCAAAAGGAAGGAGGCGCGCACCCCCCCUCUGGUCCGAAUUGGACAAGGGGUGCAGCCCCCUUUUCCUUCUCCCUCUCCCCCUCUUUCCUUCUCUCCUACUCCAACAAGGAAAGGAGGAGUCCUACUCCCGGUGGGAGGAGGACUCCCCCCUUGGCGCACCCUCCUCCUUGGCCGGCCGCCUCCCCCUUGCUCCUUUAUAUACGGGGGCAGGGGGGCACCCCAUAGACACAACAAUUGAUCGUUUGAUCUUUUAGCCGUGUGCGGUGCCCCCCUCCACCAUAGUCUACCUCGAUAAUACUGUAGCGGUGCUUAGGCGAAGCCCUGCGUCGGUAGAACAUCAUCCUCAUCACCACGCCGUCGUGCUGACGAAACUCUCCCUCAACACUCGGCUGGAUCGGAGUUCGAGGGACGUCAUCGGGCUGAACGUGUGCUGAACUCGGAGGUGCCGUGCGUUCGGUACUUGAUCGGUCGGAUCGUGAAGACGUACGACUACAUAAUUGUUGUUCCGUUUACAUGAAUAAAACCUUCUAUGGUCAUACACCCAAUGAAAAUGGUUUGUUGAUUCUCGAUCGUAGUGAUACACAUAUUCAUAAUAUUGAAGCCAAAAGAUGCAAAGUUAAUAAUGAUAGUGCAACUUAUUUGUGGCACUGCCGUUUAGGUCAUAUUGGUGUAAAACGCAUGAAGAAACUCCAUGCUGAUGGGAUUUUGGAAUCACUUGAUUAUGAAUCACUUGAUGCUUGCGAACCAUGCCUAUUGGGCAAGAUGACUAAAACGCCGUUCUCCGGAACAAUGGAGCAAGCAACAGAUUUGUUGGAAAUCAUACAUACUGAUGUAUGUGGUCCGAUGAAUAUUGAGGCUCGUAGCGGGUAUCAUUAUUUUCUGACCUUCACAGAUGAUUUGAGCAGAUAUGGGUAUAUCUACUUAACGAAACAGAAGUCUGAAACAUUUGAAAAGUUCAUAUAAUUUCAGAGUGAAGUGAAAAAUCAUCGUAACAAGAAAAUAAAGUUUCUACGAUCUGAUCGUGGAGAAGAGUAUUUGAGUUACGAGUUUGGUCUUCAGUUAAAACAAUGUGAAAUAGUUUCACUGCUCACGCCACCUGGAACACCACAGUGUAAUGGUGUGUCCGAACAUCGUAACCGUACUUUAUUAGAUAUGGUGCAAUCUAUGAUGUCUCUUACCGAUUUACCACUAUCGUUUUGGGGUUAUGCAUUAAAGACAGUUGCAUCCACGUUAAAAAGGGCACCGUCUAAGUCCGUUGAGACGACACAAUAUGAACUGUGGUUUGGCAAGAAACCAAAGUUGUCGUUACUUAAAGUUUGGGGUUGUGAUGCUUAUAUGAAAAAGUUUCAUCCUGAUAAGCUCAAACCCAAAUCGGAGAAGUAUGUCUUCAUAGGAUACCCAAAGGAGACUGUUGGGUACACCUUCUAUCACAGAUCCAAAGGCAAGACAUUCGUUGCUAAGAAUAGAUCCUUUCUGGAGAAGGAGUUUCUCUCGAAAGAAGUGAGUGGGAGGAAAGUAAAACUUGAUGAGGUAAUUGUACCUUCUCCCGAAUUGGAGAAUAGUUCAUCACAGAAAUCAGUUCCAGUGAUGCGUACACCAAUUAGUGAGGAAGUUAAUGAUGAUGAUCAUAAAACUUCGGAUCAAGUUACUACAGAACUUCGUAGAUCAACCAGAGCACGAUCUGCCCCAGACUGGUACGGUAAUCAUGUACUGGAAGUCAUGUUACUAGACCAUGAUAAACCUACGAACUAUGAGGAAGCGAUGAUGAGCCCAGAUUCCGCAAAAUGGCUUGAGGCCACGAAAUCGGAGAUGGGAUCCAUGUAUGAGAACAAAGUUUGGACUUUGGUUCACUUGCCCGGUGAUCGGUAAGCCAUAGAAAAUAAAUGGAUCUUCAAGAGAAAGAUGGACGCUGAUAGUAGUGUUACUAUCUACAAAGCUAGAAUUGUCGCAAAAAUGUUUCGACAAGUUCAAGGUGUUGACUACGAUGAGAGUUUCUCACUCGUAUCUAUGCUUAAGUCUGUCCGAAUCAUGUUAGCAAUUGCCGCAUUUUAUGAAAUCUGGCAAAUGGAUAAACAAAACUGCAUUCCUUAAUGGAUUUAUUAAAGAAGAGUUGUAUAUGAUGCAACCAGAAGGUUUUUUUCAAUCCUAAAGGUGCUAAAAAAAUAUGCAAGCUCCAGCGAUCCAUCUAUGGACUGGUGCAAGCAUCUCGGAGUUGGAAUAUACGCUUUGAUAAGUUGAUCAAAGGAUAUAGUUUUAUACAGACUUGCGGUGAAGCCUGUAUUUACAAGAAAGUGAGUGGGAGCACUACAGCAUUUCUGAUAAGUAUAUGUGAAUGACAUAUUGUUGAUCGGAAAUAAUGUAGAAUUAUUCUGCAAAGCAUAAAGGAGUGUUUGAAAGGAGUUUUUCAAAGAAAGACCUCGGUGAAGCUGCUUACAUAUUGAGCAUCAAGAUCUAUAGAGAUAGAUCAAGACGCUUGAUAAAUUUUUUCAAUGAGUACAUACCUUAACAAGAUUUUGAAGUAGUUCAAAAUGGAACAGUCAAAGAAAGAGUUCUUGCCUGUGUUACAAGGUGUGAAAUUGAGUAAGACUCAAAGCCCGACCACGGCAGAAGAUAGAAAGAGAAUGAAAGUCAUUCCCUAUGCCUCGGCCAUAGGUUCUAUAAAGUAUGCCAUGAUGUGUACCAGAUCUAUUGUAUACCCUAACUGAUUUUGGCAAGGCAGUACAAUAGUGAUCUAGGAGUAGAUCACUGGACAGCGGUCAAAAUUAUCCUUAGUGGAAUAAGGAUAUGUUUCUCGAUCAUGGAGGUGACAAAAAGGGUUCGUCGUAAAGGGUUACGUCGAUGCAAAUUUUGACACUGAUCCAGAUGACUCUAAGUCUCAAUCUGGAUACAUAUUGAAAGUGGGAGCAAUUAGCUAGAGUAGCUCCAUCCAGAGCAUUGUAGACAUAGAAAUUUGCAAAAUAUUUACGGAUCUGAAUAUGACAGACCCGUUGACUAAAAUUAUCUCACAAACAAAACAUGAUCACACCUUAGUACUCUUUGGGUGUUAAUCACAUAGCGGUGUGAACUAGAUUAUUGACUCUAGUAAACCCUUUGGGUGUUGGUCACAUGACGAUGUGAACUAUGGGUGUUAAUCACAUGGUGAUGUGAACUAUUGAUGUUAAAUCACAUGGCGAUGUGAUCUAGAUUAUUGACUCUAGUGCAAGUGGGAGACUGAAGGAAAUAUGCCCUAAAGGCAAUAAUAAAGUUAUUAUUUAUUUCCUUAUAUCAUGAUAAAUGUUUAUUAUUCAUGCUAGAAUUGUAUUAACCGGAAACCUGAUACAUGUGUGAAUACAUAGACAAAGAGAGUGUCACUAGUAUGCCUCUACUUGACUAGCUCGUUGAUCAAAGAUGGUUAUGUUUCCUAGCCAUAGACAUGAGUUAUCAUUUGAUUAACGGGAUCACAUCAUUAGGAGAAUGAUGUGAUUGACUUGACCCAUUCCGUUAGCUUAGCACUCGAUCAUUUAGUAUGUUGCUACUGCUUUCUUCAUGACUUAUACAUGUUCCUAUGGCUAUGAGAUUAUGCAACUCCCGUUUACCGGAGGAACACUUUGUGUGCUACCAAACGUCACAACCUAACUGGGUGAUUAUAAAGGUGCUAUACAGGUGUCUCCGAAGGUACUUGUUUGGUUGGCGUAUUUCGAGAUUAGGAUUUGUCACUCCGAUUGUCGGAGAGGUAUCUCUGGGCCCUCUCGGUAAUGCACAUCACUAUAAGCCUUGCAAGCAUUGUAACUAAUGAGUUAGUUGCGGGAUGAUGUAUUACGGAACGAGUAAAGAGACUUGCCGGUAACAAUAUUGAACUAGGUAUUGAGAUACCGACGAUUGAAUCUCGGGCAAGUAACAUACCGAUGACAAAGGGAACAACGUAUGUUGUUAUGCGGUCUGACCGAUAAAGAUCUUCGUAGAAUAUGUGGGAGCCAAUAUGAGCAUCCAGGUUCCGCUAUUGGUUAUUGACCGGAGACGUGUCUCGGUCAUGUCUACAUAGUUCUCGAACCCGUAGGGUCCGCACGCUUAAAGUUCGAUAACGAUUAUAUUAUGAGUUUAUGUGUUUUGAUGUACCGAAGGUAGUUCGGAGUCCCGGAUGAGAUCGGGGACAUGACGAGGAGUAUCGAAAUGGCCGAGACGUAAAUAUCGAUAUAUUGGACGACUAUAUUCGGACUUCCGAAAGGUUCCGAGUGAUUCGGGUAUUUAUCGGAGUACCGGAGAGUUACGUGAAUUCGCCGGGGGAGAAGUAUUGGGCCUUAUUGGGCCAUACGGGAAUAAAGGAGAGAGGCCAAAAGGAAGGAGGCGCGCACCCCCCCUCUGGUCCGAAUUGGACAAGGGGUGCAACCCCCUUUUCCUUCUCCCUCUCCCCCUCUUUCCUUCUCUCCUACUCCAACAAGGAAAGGAGGAGUCCUACUCCCGGUGGGAGUAGGACUCCCCCCUUGGCGCGCCCUCCUCCUUGGCCGGCCGCCUCCCCCUUGCUCCUUUAUAUACGGGGGCAGGGGGCACCCCAUAAACACAACAAUUGAUCGUUUGAUCUUUUAGCCGUGUGCGGUGCCCCCUCCACCAUAGUCUACCUCGAUAAUACUGUAGCGGUGCUUAGGCGAAGCCCUGCGUCGGUAGAACAUCAUCAUCAUCACCAUGCCGUCGUGCUGACGAAACUCUCCCUCAACACUCGGCUGGAUCGGAGUUCGAGGGACGUCAUCGGGCUGAACGUGUGCUGAACUCGGAGGUGCCGUGCGUUCGGUACUUGAUCGGUCGGAUCGUGAAGACGUACGACUACAUCAACCGCGUUGUGCUAACGCUUCCGCUUUCGGUCUACGAGGGUACGUGGACACACUCUCCCCUCUCGUUGCUAUGCAUCACCAUGAUCUUGCGUGUGCGUAGGAAAAUUUUCGAAAUUACUACGUUCCCCAACAGCUGCUUCCCAUGCUGCCGGAGCCGAGCACGGAGAUCGUCUACAUCUUCGACGACGAGUAGCUUGGUGAUCGACGUAUUACAUAGGUUUAUUUUAGUUUGCAUGUCUUUGUAUGGAUUUGAGAAUCUAGUAUGAGAUGUCCCACUACUAGGGAAAACCUUGGAAACAGAAUCUUACUAGCAGCGCGCAUUAAAACAAAGCGCUGCUGCUAUCUAGCAGUAGCGCGUGUCGGCAAAACGCGCUGCUGCAAUAAAAGUAGAAGUAGCGCGCCUGUACUAAGCCGCGCUACUGCUAUAAUUGCCACGACCUCGCCGCCAAGCUAGUUAUAGUGGUAGCACCUUAUUCCAGACAUCGCUACUGCUAUUUAACUUAGCAGUAGCGCCUUUUGAUAAUGCUCGCUACUGCUAAGUUUACUCCACUCCUUGCACCUAAAUUUAGUCCCACCUCGCUCGGCGAACAUGGUUUUUACCACCUUAAUUAUGUUACCACUUGGUGUUCAUUGAACUCUAUGUGUAGAAUUUGUGGCCGCAAUAUGAGUCUUCUCCGGUUUCUAAACUGGUGAGGACUCAUAUUGACAAUUCAGAUUGUACACAAAAAGAUCAUUGAUGAUCAAUGUAUUUUUGAUGUUUAUUUUUACAUGCUUAGACUUAGCAGUAGUGCGUUGUAGCAGAAGGCGCUACUGCUACGGGCCUAGCAGUAGCGCUUCUUAGCUGAUACAUGUUGAUAGAAUAUGUUUUGUUUAUAUUUUGUUUAUGCAGAAAUCAAGUAUUAGCCUGCCUCAUCCCCGCAGUCGUCCCCAUCGCCGACCCCCUAAGAACUCUAGGUGAGAAUAGCCAAAUCCCCAUGCUGUUGAUAUAGAUGAUAAUGUGUUGUAAAUGUCGAUGAUGAAAAUGCUAGUGCUAGUCGCCAUGUCAUUGAUGUCGAUGAUGAUCCAUUCUGAAUAUAGAGGAUGUCUUGGUGUUCUUGUUUGCAAUGUAUCUCCGAGUGGCCUAUGUUUUGCCGGAAUGUUGAUUCGUUUCCAUUCCGGCAUAUUUCAGGCGCUCGAUAUGUCCUGUUUUAGCAAAGGUCAUGCCGAUUUUUUUUCAUGAAUUUUAGCACGACUUGUGCUGCAAUGUAGGACAUAUCGAGUGCUUGUGAUUUGUCAGAACAGGAAUUCAAUGAUAGUCCGGCAAAACAUAGGGCAUUUUUCUAUGCCAUUGCUCAAUAUAUCGCAAAGUGUUUAUGAAUUUUGUUUUCAUAAUUAAGCAUUUGUUUUCGACGUCGACGAUGCCUAUCCCGCAUUCUCGUCGUCGACUCGACAGAGGUGGCCUGCUUGAUCAGUGGGGCCAUGUCCGGGACUGGGCUCCGCCGGGCUGGUACUGGGAGGUGCUACCUUCCGGGGCGCACAACUUGGUGAGGAGGCAGCCCGUCGUCGACCCAGACCUUCUUUGGUGGCUCGCGUGGGCCAGUGACAGUGCAGAGGCUUUUGUCCAUCACGGAGGUGGUACGUUACCGUGUCAGCGAGGAGGACAAGCACGUCCGUCGCUUCAUGGUUGCGUCGGAGGGCAGGUUCUCCAAUACCUGGCAGGUUCUUCAGGGAUCUCACUGGAGCUAUGAUCCUGUAAUGGUUCCUUCUCUUUGGGUGUCCACCGCCCGCGCCGAUACCCGUCGUUCGCUAGGGUUCUAGCUGUAUUAGUGAUGUUAUAUGUAUGAUACUAUUCGAGAUGUACUAGUGAUAAUAUUCAAAGAUGUAUGGAUGCAAGAGAUGAUUUAGUUUUGCUCAUUGAAUGCAUGCUAAUUUGAAAACUAAAAUUGGAGAUAAUUGAACGACAUUUCGGGUUGACUUUAAGUCUGUCGGGACUCCACCAUACAUGAGAGAAGAAGAAUGUCGACUGUUGUCGUGGGGGUCGUUCCUCCUCUUCUUUCUCGUGAUAGACCUUUUGGUAAUGCACGGGAAGGAAGGGAAGAAUGACCAUCACCGACGGUCGCAAAUGUCCGAGAGGAAUCAAUGAGGGAGUGUGUCCACCAUAUAUGAGAGAGGACGAAGAAUCCCGACUAUUAUCGUGGGGGUCGUUUCUCCUUCUGCUAGACCUAUGUUAUGCACUAGGGGAAGCAGGAGUAACGACCAUCACCGACGGGCGCAAAUGUCAGUGAGGAAUCAAUGGGGGAGAGUCUCCACCAUAUAUGAGAGGACGAAAAAUCCCUGUUGUUGUGGGGGCCGCUUCUCCUUCGUUCCCGCGUGCUAGACAUUUUGGUGUAAUGCAUUCGGGGACGAAAGGAGCGACCAUCACCAACGGUCGAAUGUAUACACCACGUGAGCUGAGAGUUUUCAAGAAAAGACUCGACAGACCGAUAGUCAACCCAUGAUGAAUAAUAACGAUCUAAUUUAGUUUUUGUAGUACAUAUAUUUAAUUGUACGAGUUUAAUCUUUGAAUUAUGAACAUAGGAAAUGUCGUCGAUGUCGUCGUUGGACGACGAAAGUCUCCCGGCGGAGUGCGACUGCUGCGGUGAUGACCGGGGUCUGUGCGACAGGCCUCACCUGGUAGAAGGUCGCCGCUUCGGCAUUAAGCUCCAGGAGACCUUUGAUGUUCAAACGGUACGCAAUGACGACAAGUUAUUUUUCAUAAUUAAGCACGACUUCUGCUACUUCAACGUGUAAUUUUCGUCUUUUACAAUUCAACUAGCUUAUCUCAUGCCAUGCAAGAGCUAUGUCUUUGUGACGCCCGGAUAAUUAAGCUACAGUAAACCUUUGCUAAUGAUGCCACGUCACCUCAGUGAAAGUUGAUAAACUCACGUUAGUUCAAAACGAUUCAAAUUCAAAUUUAAAGUAUAGGCAAGCAACACAAGUUUUUAAACAAUAAAACUAAAAUGUUCGGGUCGUGCCAAAUAAUGCGUAUGUAAUUAUGGUGGACAAACCACAUUUUUAUAAAGUAUUUAAUUGCAAUGAGGUAAAUAAAACAGUAACAAAAACAAAUAAAUAAAUGCCUUUUUCAGUUAAUAAAAUAUUAAGCUAACUUAUUUAUUUGCCCAAAACUAUUGGGGAAGUGGCAUAUUUAUUAAAACUAAAUUAGGAACUAGUUUUGUAUUUCAUUUAAACUAUAAGAGGGUGAGACUAAGAGAAAACAGAAACAUGAAAAUCAAUAAAUUAAAACAGAGAAACCCCCUGGCCCUACUGGGCCUCAACCCAACCGACCGGCCCACCGUUGCCAGCCUACUUAACCCACCCUAAACCCUAACCUAGUCGAUCCCCUCCCCACUCACCCCCGUUCCUCCCCACUCUGGAUCUGGAUCGAGGAACAAGCCCCGACCCCUUCGACGUCGUCGCCUCGUCCUCGUCCUUGUCGUCACCUCGCCGCCCCCAUCGCCGGAAUUCGCACCGCCCCAAGCUCUGGCGCCUCCCCGACUCCUCCCCGAGCCCGCUUGUGCUCAACUACAGGGCCUCGUGAGCUCUCUCUCUCCUUUUCUUCCCGUUUUCCCUCUCUCCCUAGCUCGACCCCAAGCUCCUGUCGAGCUGCUGCUGCCGCUAAACCCAAGCCCUGCGCCACCUGCUGUCCCUGCUGCCGCUGCGCGUCGCACGAGCUCGUCUGCUCACGCACGCCCGUGCUCGCGCACACCGCCCGCAACUGCUCAUCGCGCCGUGGCCNNNNNNNNNNNNNNNNNNNNNNNNNNNNNNNNNNNNNNNNNNNNNNNNNNNNNNNNNNNNNNNNNNNNNNNNNNNNNNNNNNNNNNNNNNNNNNNNNNNNNNNNNNNNNNNNNNNNNNNNNNNNNNNNNNNNNNNNNNNNNNNNNNNNNNNNNNNNNNNNNNNNNNNNNNNNNNNNNNNNNNNNNNNNNNNNNNNNNNNNNNNNNNNNNNNNNNNNNNNNNNNNNNNNNNNNNNNNNNNNNNNNNNNNNNNNNNNNNNNNNNNNNNNNNNNNNNNNNNNNNNNNNNNNNNNNNNNNNNNNNNNNNNNNNCCCGCGCCGCCGCUGCACCGCCUAGCGCCGCGUCGGCCCGCCUCCCGUCCUCACCGUGCCCACGAGACGCCGCGCCCGGCGCUCGUGCCCAUCGGGCGCCCACGGCCUUGCCCACUAGCACACCCGACCCGCAAGGCCCCUGUGCCACUGACAUGGGGCCCCACGCCCCUAGAAUGUUUAAAAAAAAGGAAUUGAAAAAAUUAUAAAUAAAAAUAAAAAUAUCAAUUAAUUAAUUAAUCAACUAAAUAAUUAACUUAAUUAAUUUUGUUUAAAUUAACUAAUUAAGAUUAAUUCACCUAACAACUAGUUAACCUAAUUAUCCACUUUUAAUUAGCUAAAUAGUCCCUGACAGGUGGGACCCACCUGUUAGGUUGACCAGGUCAACGGUCAACGUUGACUGCCGACGUCAUGCUGACAUCAUGCUGACGUCAUAAUAGCAUUUUUGAAUUAAAUUAAAUAUGUUAUUUCUAGAAAUUGAUAAAAUCUAUAAAAAUUCACAUAAAAUAAUCCGUAACUCGGAUGAAAAUACUUUGUACAUGAAAGUUGCUCCGAACGACGAGGCGAAUCUGAAUACGCAGCCUGUUCGUCCGCCACACGUCCCUAGCAUAGCGAUCCUGCAAAUUUCCCCCUCCAGUUCAUCUGUCCGAAAACGCGAAACACCGGGGAUACAUUCCCGGAUGUCCCCCCCUUCGCCGGUAUCACCUCCUACUGCGUUAGGUCACCUCUAGCCCCGCGUAUUGCCAUGUUACGCUUUGUGAUGCCUUGAUUGCUCUGUUAUUUAUUGUGUUCCCCCUCCGUUACUUCUUUCUGGUAGACCCCGAGGCUGCUGGUGACCCCCAGUUCGACUACGGUGUUGACGACCCGUCCUUCUUGCCAGAGCAACCAGGCAAGCCCCCCCUUGAUCACCAGAUAUCGCCUAUUCUUCUCUCUACUGCUUGCAUUAGAGUAGUGUAGCAUGUUACUGCUUUCCGUUAAUCAUAUCUUGAUGCAUAGCCUGUCCUUGCUACUACCGUUGUUACCCUUACCUGCUAUCCUAAUGCUUAGUAUAGGAUGCUAGUGUUCCAUCAGUGGCCCUACACUCUUGUCCGUCUGCCAUGCUAUACUACUGGGUCGUGAUCACUUCGGGAGGUGAUCACGGGCAUAUGCUAUAUACUUUAUACUGUUACAUUACUUAUGAUACUGUUCGGAGAUGGGGGCUGAAGGGGCAGGUGGCUCCAUCCCGGUAGAGGUGGGCCUGGGUUCCCGAUGGCCCCUGACUAUUACUUUGUGGCGGAGCGACUGGGCAGGUUGAGACCACCUAGGAGAGAGGUGGGCCUGGCCCUGGUCGGCUUCCGCGGUUACUUCAUAAUAACACGCUUAACGAGAUCUUGGUAUUUGAUCUGAGUCUGGCCAUUUGGUCGAUACGCACUAACCAACUACGUGGGAAAGAUAUGGGCACUCGACGUCGUGGUAUCAGCCGAAGCCUUCGUGACAUCAGCGACUGAGCGGCGCGCGCCAGAUUGGACCGCGUAACGUGACUUCCUUUGUAAUGGAGGUUGCUAGGUCUGCUUCCGGCCGCCCUCGCAACGUGUAGGUGUGCAAUGGGCGAUGGGCCCAGACCCCUGCGCCAUAGGAUUUAGACCGGCGUGCUAACCUCUCUGUUGUGCCUAGGUAGGGCUGCGACGUGUUGAUCUUCCGAGGCCAGGCAUGACCCAGGAAAGUGUGUCCGGCCAAAUGGGACCGAGCGUGUUGGGUUAUGUGGUGCACCCCUGCAGGGAAGUUUAUCUAUUCGAAUAGUCGUGUCCCUCGGUAAAAGGACGACCCGGUUGUACCUUGACCUUAUGACAACUAGAACCGGAUACUUAAUAAAACACACCCUUCCAAGUGCCAUACACCACCCGCUGAUUGCUCUCUCACAGGUCGACGAGGAGAGGAUCGUUGGGUUAGGAUUAUGAUAUGCGAUGAUACUUGGUGAACUUACCAUCUACUCUCUUCUACAUGCUGCAAGAUGGAGGCUACCAGAAGCGUAGUCUUCGACAGGACUAGCUACCACCCUCUUAUUCUGGCAUUCGGCAGUUCAGUCCACCGAUAUUGCCCCUUUACACAGAUACCCAUGCAUAUGUAGUGUAGAUCCUUGCUUGUGAGUACUUUGGAUGAGUACUCACGGUUGCUUUUCUCCCUCUUUUCCCCUUUCCAUUCUACCUGGUUGUCGCAACUAGAUGUUGGAGCCCAGGAGCUUGACGCCAUCGUCGACAACGACUCCUACUACACCGGAGGUGUCUACUACUACGUGCAGGCCGCUGACGACGACCAGGAGUAGUUUAGGAUGAUCCCAGGCAGGAGGCCUGCGCCUCUUACGAGCUGUAUCCUAGUUUGUGCUAGCCUUCUUAAGGCAAACUUGUUUAACUCAUGUCUGUACUCAGAUAUUGUUGCUUCCGCUGACUCUUGUGUAUUCGAGCUUAUGUAUUCGAGCCCUCGAGGCCCCGGGCUUGUAAUAUAAAGCUUGUAUUAUUUUAAUUUGUGUCUAGAGUUGUGUUGUGAUAUCUUCUCGUGAGUCCUUGAUCUUGAUCGUACACAUUUGCGUGUAUGAUUAGUGUACGGUCGAGUCGGGGGCGUCACAGUCUUGGAGAGGAUGGAUUUUGAAGAUCGUGAAAGUAUGGAAACAAUGAUAAUUCACCUAAGGACCCAUCAUGGUAUGGAUCUUGAUGUAAAUCUAUACAAUUCUGAGUGUUACCCUUUUUGGUUGCCCGAAUUGGGAAGCACUUUGCAAGAUGUAUGAUUUUCAUGAGGGUAUGCUUGUCACCAUGGAUCUUGGCGAUCCUGACAUCGCCCAAGACAAUAUGGACAUUUGGGUCCUUGUUGAUACGCUUCCAAUUCUACCGCUAUGUGAGUUUCUCAAACAUAGUUAUUAAUUAAUUUAUAUUGUUUAUUUCAAAAUAGUUGACAGCUUAUUUCCAUUGAUAGCUUAUUUUCAUUCUUCAAAGAAUGUGCAGAAGAUGGUAGACAGAACCUACUACACCGAUCACUACAAAAAAAAGA
rnacentral:lncRNA from 1 species